GUUUGAUCAUGGCUCAGAACGAACGCUGGCGGCGUGCCUAACACAUGCAAGUCGAGCGAGAAAGUUCCUUCGGGAAUGAGUAAAGCGGCGCACGGGUGAGUAACACGUAGGUAACCUACCUUCGGGUCUGGGAUAACCCAGGGAAACCUGGGCUAAUACUGGAUAAGACCACGAUUCUUCGGAACAGUGGGAAAAGCCGGCCUCUAUUUAUAAGCUGGCACCGGAAGAUGGGCCUGCGGGGUAUUAGCUAGUUGGUAGGGUAACGGCCUACCAAGGCUACGAUGCCUAGCUGGUCUGAGAGGACGACCAGCCACACUGGCACUGGAACACGGGCCAGACACCUACGGGUGGCAGCAGUGGGGAAUAUUGCGCAAUGGGGGAAACCCUGACGCAGCGACGCCGUGUGCGGGAAGAAGGCCUUCGGGUCGUAAACCGCUGUCAGAAGGGAUGAAAAACCGGUAGGUAAAUAAUCUACCGGCUUGAUGGUACCUUCAGAGGAAGCACCGGCUAACUCCGUGCCAGCAGCCGCGGUAAUACGGAGGGUGCAAGCGUUGUUCGGAAUUACUGGGCGUAAAGGGCGCGUAGGCGGCCGCGUAAGUCUGAUGUGAAAUCCCUGGGCCCAACCCAGGACGUGCAUUGGAAACUGCGUGGCUUGAGUACGGGAGAGGAGAGCGGAAUUCCUGGUGUAGAGGUGAAAUUCGUAGAUACCAGGAGGAACACCGGUGGCGAAGGCGGCUCUCUGGACCGAUACUGACGCUGGGGCGCGAAAGCGUGGGUAGCAAACAGGAUUAGAUACCCUGGUAGUCCACGCCCUAAACGAUGACGACUAGAUGUCGCGGGUAUUGACCCCCGCGGUGCCGUCGCUAACGCAUUAAGU
rnacentral:rRNA from 1 species